rnacentral:rRNA from 1 species
GAUGAACGCUGGCGGCGUGCCUAAUACAUGCAAGUCGAGCGAACGGACGAGAAGCUUGCUUCUCUGAUGUUAGCGGCGGACGGGUGAGUAACACGUGGAUAACCUACCUAUAAGACUGGGAUAACUUCGGGAAACCGGAGCUAAUACCGGAUAAUAUUUUGAACCGCAUGGUUCAAAAGUGAAAGACGGUCUUGCUGUCACUUAUAGAUGGAUCCGCGCUGCAUUAGCUAGUUGGUAAGGUAUCGGCUUACCAAGGCAACGAUGCAUAGCCGACCUGAGAGGGUGAUCGGCCACACUGGAACUGAGACACGGUCCAGACUCCUACGGGAGGCAGCAGUAGGGAAUCUUCCGCAAUGGGCGAAAGCCUGACGGAGCAACGCCGCGUGAGUGAUGAAGGUCUUCGGAUCGUAAAACUCUGUUAUUAGGGAAGAACAGAUGUGUAAGUAACUGUGCACAUCCUGACGGUACCUAAUCAGAAAGCCACGGCUAACUACGUG